UACGGAGGGUGCAAGCGUUAUCCGGAUUCACUGGGUUUAAAGGGUGCGUAGGUGGGCUGGUAAGUCAGUGGUGAAAUCUCCGGGCUUAACUCGGAAACUGCCGUUGAUACUAUCAGUCUUGAAUAUUGUGGAGGUAAGCGGAAUAUGUCAUGUAGCGGUGAAAUGCUUAGAGAUGACAUAGAACACCCAUUGCGAAGGCAGCUUACUACGCCUAUAUUGACGCUGAGGCACGAAAGCGUGGGGAUCAAACAGG
rnacentral:rRNA from 1 species